CUGCUAUCUCCCUUUCGAGGGAGCGAGCGAAAGCCUGAGCGUUCGUCGGGUCAUUCGAGGUGGGGCCGGGGGUAGAGAGGUAUAUCCUUUCUCUCUCUCUUUCAUUCUCGGAUUAGUGCUCGGCGUCGUUCGAAACGAAGUAGGUGAUGACGCUGGCGCGACCGUGGUUGCCCGAUCGUCCGUCGAGUCCCGGAGCUCUUGAGCGCGAAUGCGCGCGCUGGGCGGACCGACGGAUGGGUCGAUUCCCGGUACGUCGUCAGCGUGUUUACACGUUCACCGAGUAGAUACGUACGCGCGUGUGUGUGUGURUAUAYA
rnacentral:rRNA from 1 species